GACGUAGGUGGCGAACGUUAUCCGGAAUUAUUGGGCGUAAAGGGCUCGUAGGCGGUUUGUCGCGUCGGGAGUGAAAACACGGGGCUUAACCCCGUGCCUGCUUCCGAUACGGGCAGACUAGAGGUAUGCAGGGGAGAACGGAAUUCCUGGUGUAGCGGUGAAAUGCGCAGAUAUCAGGAGGAACACCGGUGGCGAAGGCGGUUCUCUGGGCAUUACCUGACGCUGAGGAGCGAAAGUGUGGGGAGCGAACAGG
rnacentral:rRNA from 1 species